rnacentral:rRNA from 1 species
UACGAGGGGGGCAAGCGUUGUUCGGAAUUAUUGGGCGUAAAGGGUCCGUAGGCGGUUUGGUAAGUCAGUGGUGAAAGCCCAUCGCUCAACGAUGGAACGGCCAUUGAUACUGCCAGACUUGAAUUACUAGGAAGUAACUAGAAUAUGUAGUGUAGCGGUGAAAUGCUUAGAUAUUACAUGGAAUACCAAUUGCGAAGGCAGGUUACUGCUAGUGGAUUGACGCUGAUGGACGAAAGCGUGGGGAGCGAACAGG